rnacentral:rRNA from 1 species
AUUGAACGCUGGCGGCAUGCCUUACACAUGCAAGUCGAACGGCAGCGGACCUUCGGGUGCCGGCGAGUGGCGAACGGGUGAGUAAUAUAUCGGAACGUACCUUUCAGUGGGGGAUAACGUAGCGAAAGUUACGCUAAUACCGCAUAUUCUGUGAGCAGGAAAGCAGGGGAUCGCAAGACCUUGCGCUGAUUGAGCGGCCGAUAUCAGAUUAGCUAGUUGGUGAGGUAAAGGCUCACCAAGGCGACGAUCUGUAGCGGGUCUGAGAGGAUGAUCCGCCACACUGGUACUGAGACACGGUCCAGACUCCUACGGGAGGCAGCAGUGGGGAAUUUUGGACAAUGGGCGCAAGCCUGAUCCAGCCAUGCCGCGUGAGUGAAGAAGGCCUCGGUGUAAGA